rnacentral:rRNA from 1 species
UACAGAGGUCUCAAGCGUUGUUCGGAUUCAUUGGGCGUAAAGGGUGCGUAGGCGGCGCGGUAAGUCGGGUGUGAAAUCUCGGGCUUAACUCCGAAACUGCAUUCGAUACUGCCGUGCUUGAGGACUGGAGAGGAGACUGGAAUUUACGGUGUAGCGGUGAAAUGCGUAGAUAUCGUAAGGAAGACCAGUGGCGAAGGCGGGUCUCUGGACAGUUCCUGGACGCCUGAGGCACGAAGGCCAGGGGAGCAAACGGG